CAUGUUUUCUCUUCACGUUGCCAUUCCCUUUGCUUCUCAUCAUACUGGCAUUUCAGCAUGGUUCCUUCAGAUACUGCGUAAGACAUCUGAGACUCUGCUACAAGAUCUCUUCCUUUCAAUUUUCCUUUUUAUCUCUAAUUAAACUGCCAGCAUGGAGCCUGCUAAUCAUAUACUUACAGCUAUUGAGUCCCCUUGUUCUGGUCACCUGCUUCAUACAUAUUCCCGUUCUGUUCCAGAACAUCCCUGGAGGCACUUUGAUGUCAGCAGGUGUCUCUCACAUUCAGAAAGGAUCUCUGCUGAAGACCAGGAAAUGCAAGAUGAUUUGA
ensembl:lncRNA